GAUGAAGAACGUAGCGAAAUGCGAUAAGUAGUGUGAAUUGCAGAAUUCAGUGAAUCAUCGAAUCUUUGAACGCACAUUGCGCCCUAUAGUAUUCUGUAGGGCAUGCAUGUUCGAGCGUCAUUUGUACCUUCAAGCUUUGCUUGGUGUUGGGUGUUUGUCCUCUCCCUGGUGUUUGGACUCGCCUUAAAACAAUUGGCAGCCAGUGUUUUGGUAUUGAAGCGCAGCACAAUUUGCGAUUCUGGCCUUAAAAUACUAGCGUCCCUAAGUACAUUCUCACUUUUGACCUCGGAUCAUGUAGGGAUACCCGCUGAACUUAAGCAUAUCAAUAAGCGGAGGA
rnacentral:misc_RNA from 1 species